AUUGUACACCUGUGACUGACUUUGAUGACUGUUGAGGGAAUGUAACAGAUCUUUGUCCAGAUAAUAUUGUUUGUGCAUGCAAAGAUGGAGAGCCUUUUACAGAGAACAGAGGAGUUUAUCAGGACUCCAACCUCGGCAUUAUUCUGCAUAUGCUCUUGAUACUGCUGUGAGACCUUCUCAAAUGGAUCAAGUUGGAGCAAAUAGAUUGUUCUAGUGAGGGGAUGCACUCCUCAAAACUGGAAGUAUUCCAGAAGAGACUACGAUGAGACAGGAAUGACAUCUUCAAGUGGGAAAGCAGACUAGAUAACAGCUAAGAUUCUACAAUAAGUCAACUCUCAAAUUCUGUAUCCUUUUUAGUAUAUCAUAUUUUAAAUUUGCUGUAGCUUCUUUCAUAUUUAAAGACUCAAAGGAGCUCUCUUUUUUUUUUCCUUAUCUUUCAAUACUAUGUUCUCAGUAUGUUAAAUGCCAAGGUUAUUCUUUGAAGCCUAUUUUCUAAUAUAUAACAUUUAGUUCAUUGAAGCUUAUCUUCUGAGUUUUACCAGCUCAUCCAGCCUUGGGAGAUCUCCAUGCAGAUGUCCUUGUCUGAUUGACAGUUCAUUUUCAGGAAGGCCAGCAUCAAAUGUUGGAUUUUUGUUUUGUUUUGUGUUUUCCUUUGUUUUUUUUUUUAAUUAAAUUUAUUGG